rnacentral:rRNA from 1 species
AUUGAACGCUGGCGGCAUGCCUUACACAUGCAAGUCGAACGGUAACAGGUCUUUGGAUGCUGACGCGUGGCGAACGGGUGAGUGAUACAUCCGAACGUGCCCAGACGUGGGGGAUAACGAGUCGUAAGCUUUGCUAAGAUCGCAUACGAUAUAAGGAUGAGAGCAGGGGACCGCAUGGGCUUGCGCGUUUGGAGCGGCCGAUGGCAGCUUAGGUAGUUGGUGGGGUAAAAGCUUACCAAGCCGACGCUUUGUAGCUGGACUGAGAGGACGACCAGCCACACUGGGACUGAGACACGGCCCAGACUCCUACGGGAGGCAGCAGUGGGGAAUCUUGGACAAUGGGCGAAAGCCUGAUCCAGCAAUGCCGCGUGCGGGAUGAAGGCCUUCGGGUUGUAAACUGCUUUUGUACGGAACGAAAAGCCUCUGGCUAAUACCUGGAGCACAUGACGGUACCGUAAGAAUAAGCACCGGCUAACUACGUG